ACGUAUGCGUCAUCAUCGAAUGACAUAAUCGUAAAACCGGAAAUGUUGUACAAACAAUAAUAUAUUCAUGUUCUCGUAUUAAUCGUCAUUAGCCCCGUUGCUUGCAUUAUUCUGAAACACGUAAUAAUAACACUAUAAUUUCAUAUCUAUAUUUCAAAUAAAUUGUAUAGAAUAUACGUUAACGUAGUAAAUAAUAAUUUAAAACCA